rnacentral:piRNA from 1 species
CCUGGUGGGGCUGUUCGAGGACAC